rnacentral:rRNA from 1 species
AGAGUUUGAUCCUGGCUCAGAGCGAGCGCUGGCGGCAGGCCUAAUACAUGCAAGUCGAGCGCCCCGCAAGGGGAGCGGCGGACGGGUGAGUAACACGUGGGAACGUACCCUUUGCUACGGAAUAGUCUCGGGAAACUGGGGGUAAUACCGUAUGUGCCCUUCGGGGGAAAGAUUUAUCGGCAAAGGAUCGGCCCGCGUUGGAUUAGGUAGUUGGUGGGGUAAUGGCCUACCAAGCCGACGAUCCAUAGCUGGUUUGAGAGGAUGAUCAGCCACACUGGGACUGAGACACGGCCCAGACUCCUAUGGGAGGCAGCAGUGGGGAAUCUUGCGCAAUGGGGGAAACCCUGACGCAGCAACGCCGCGUGAGUGAGGAAGGUCUUCGGAUCGUAAAGCUCUGUCGGGUGGAAAGAAAUGUAUGGGGUUAAUAGCCUUCAUACUUGACGGUACCACCAAAGGAAGCACCGGCUAACUCCGUGCCAGCAGCCGCGGUAAUA